CUUGACAUCCAGAGAAUUUAGCAGAGAUGCUUUAGUGCCUUCGGGAACUCUGAGACAAGUGCUGCAUGGCUGUCGUCAGCUCGUGUUGUGAAAUGUUGGGUUAAGUCCGCAACGAGCGCAACCCUUAUCCUUUGUUGCCAGCACGUAAUGGUGGGAACUCAAAGGAGACUGCCGGUGAUAAACCGGAGGAAGGUGGGGAUGACGUCAAGUCAUCAUGGCCCUUACGAGUAGGGCUACACACGUGCUACAAUGGCGUAUACAAAGAGAAGCGACCUCGCGAGAGCAAGCGGACCUCAUAAAGUGCGUCGUAGUCCGGAUUGGAGUCUGCAACUCGACUCCAUGAAGUCGGAAUCGCUAGUAAUCGUAAAUCAGAAUGUUACGGUGAAUACGUUCCCGGGCCUUGUACACACCGCCCGUCACACCAUGGGAGUGGGUUGCAAAAGAAGUAGAUAGCUUAACCUUCGGGAGGGCGUUUACCACUUUGUGAUUCAUGACUGGGGUGAAGUCGUAACAAGGUAAGCGUAGUGCU
rnacentral:rRNA from 1 species